GUCUCCCAGUGGUGCAAUGGGUCAGUGUGUCUGGCUGUUAGCUAGAAGGUUGGUGGUUUGAGCCUACCCAGGGACG